AGAGUUUGAUCAUGGCUCAGGACGAACGCUGGCGGCGUGCUUAACACAUGCAAGUCGAACGCUGAAGCUUGGAGCUUGCUCUGGGUGGAUGAGUGGCGAACGGGUGAGUAACACGUGAGUAACCUGCCCCGAACUCUGGGAUAAGCGCUGGAAACGGCGUCUAAUACUGGAUAUGUCCUGUCACCGCAUGGUGUGCAGGUGGAAAGAUUUAUCGGUUCGGGAUGGACUCGCGGCCUAUCAGCUUGAUGGUGAGGUAAUGGCUCACCAUGGCGACGACGGGUAGCCGGCCUGAGAGGGUGACCGGCCACACUGGGACUGAGACACGGCCCAGACUCCUACGGGAGGCAGCAGUGGGGAAUAUUGCACAAUGGGCGCAAGCCUGAUGCAGCAACGCCGCGUGAGGGAUGACGGCCUUCGGGUUGUAAACCUCUUUUGUCAGGGAAGAAGCCUUCGGGUGACGGUACCUGGAGAAAAAGCACCGGCUAACUACGUGCCAGCCGCCGCGGUAAUUC
rnacentral:rRNA from 1 species